rnacentral:tRNA from 1 species
GCGAGAGUAGUUCAGUGGUAGAACGCUUCCUUGCCAAGGAAGAGGCCGGGGGUUCGAGUCCCCUCUCUCGCUCCA